UUCUUCGGAGGGAGAAGUAACCCGGCGGACGGCUCAGUAACACGUGGACAACUUGCCCUUGGGACCGGGAUAACCCCUGGGAAACUGGGGCUAAUACCGGAUAGAACAUCGGUUGCUGGAAUGCACGAUGUUCGAAAGCUGAGGCACCCAAGGAUAGGUCUGCGGCCGAUUAGGUUGUUGUUGAUGUGACGGAUCAACAAGCCUACGAUCGGUACGGGUUGUGAGAGCAAUAACCCGGAGAUGGGUUCUGAGAAAAGAACCCAGGUCCUACGGGACGCAUUAGGCGCGAAAACUUUACAAUGUGCGAAAGCACGAUAAGGGAACUCUGAGUGCCUCCUAAGGAGGCUGUUCAAGUGUCUAAAAAGCAUCUGAGAAGGCUUGGU
rnacentral:rRNA from 1 species